GAGUUUGAUCCUGGCUCAGAACGAACGCUGGCGGCAGGCCUCAAACAUGCAAGUCUAGGGGGUAGCAAUACCACCGGCGGACGGGUGCGUAACACGUGGGAAUAUACCUUUUGGUUCGGAACAACGCAGGGAAACUUGCGCUAAUACCGAAUGUGCCCUUACGGGGAAAGAUUUAUCGCCAAAGGAUUAGCCCGCGUCCGAUUAGCUAGUUGGUGAGGUAAUGGCUCACCAAGGCUCCGAUCGGUAGCUGUUCUGAGAGGAAGAUCAGCCACACUGGGACUGAGACACGGCCCAGACUCCUACGGGAGGCAGCAGUUGGGAAUCUUGGACAAUGGGGGAAACCCUGAUCCAGCCAUGCCGCGUGAGUGAUGAAGGCCUUCGGUU
rnacentral:rRNA from 1 species